AUUAAAGUGGCAGAGUAUGGUAAAUGCAAAAGACCUAAGGCCUUUAUCUCGAGGGUUCAAAUCCCCCCUUUAAUU
rnacentral:tRNA from 1 species